GUCGUGCGCGUGAAGGCGUGUGCGGUAACACGUAGGGUGGAGUGUGUGUUCGGGAUGUUGGGGCGUAAAGAGGUCGUUGGCGGGUGGGUGCGUCUGCGGGGAAAGCCCGGGGCUUAACCCGGGGCUUGCAGGGGGUACGGACAGACGAGAGGGAGGUAGGGGAGCAUGGAAUUCCCGGUGUAGCGGUGAAAUGCGCAGAGAUCGGGAGGAACACCGGUGGCGAAGGCGGUUCUCUGGGCCUGACCUGACGCUGAGGAGCGAAAGCGUGGGGAGCGAACAGGAUUAGAUACCCUUGUAGUC
rnacentral:rRNA from 1 species